UACGUAGGAGGCAAGCGUUAUCCGGAAUUAUUGGGCGUAAAGCGUUCGUAGGUGGCUAGUCAAGUCUGCGGUCAAAGACUGGGGCUUAACCCUGGAAAGGCCGUGGAAACUGACGAGCUAGAGUGCAGUAGGGGUAGAGGGAAUUCCCGGUGUAGCGGUGAAAUGCGUAGAGCUCGGGAAGAACAUCGGUGGCGAAAGCGCUCUACUGGACUGCAACUGACACUCAGGGACGAAAGCUAGGGGAGCGAAUGGG
rnacentral:rRNA from 1 species